GCCAGGAUGGCUGAGUGGUUAAGGUGUUGGACCUUAAGGUCAGAUGAGUGAUAACUCAUGUGGGUUCAAACCCCACUCCUGGUA
rnacentral:tRNA from 1 species